ACGAACGCUGGCGGCGUGCUUCACCCAUGCAAGUCGCACGGAAAGGCCCUGCUUGCAGGGUACUCGAGUGGCGAACGGGUGAGUAACACGUGGGUGAUCUGCCCUGCACUUCGGGAUAAGCCUGGGAAACUGGGUCUAAUACCGGAUAGGAGCCAUUUUUAGUGUGAUGGUUGGAAAGUUUUUUCGGUGUAGGAUGAGCUCGCGGCCUAUCAGCUUGUUGGUGGGGUAAUGGCCUACCAAGGCGGCGACGGGUAGCCGGCCUGAGAGGGUGGACGGCCACAUUGGGACUGAGAUACGGCCCAGACUCCUACGGGAGGCAGCAGUGGGGAAUAUUGCACAAUGGGCGCAAGCCUGAUGCAGCGACGCCGCGGGGGGGAUGACGGCCUUCGGGUUGUAAACUCCUUUCGCUAGGGACGAAGCUUUUUGUGACGGUACCUAGAUAAGAAGCACCGGCUAACUACGUG
rnacentral:rRNA from 1 species